ACGUGUUGAGAGGACGUCCUAGGCCUGGGGAGGAGGCCAGCUGAGUUUGAAUCUCAGCUCUGCUGAGGACUAACUGGGUGCCCUCAUCCUACCUCCGUCUCCCCAACUGUGAGACAAGGGUAAUCCUACUACCUCAUAGGGCCAUCACGAGAAUACAUGAAAUAAUGCUCAUAAGGCCUCUGGCACAUAGUGAAUGGGGAAUUAGCAGAAGCUAUUGCUGUGUGAGCUUCGUGGGGGAGACAGCAUCUGACCUGGCCCUAAAGCCAAGGCGUGUACGGACAUACGCCCAGGAGCCUUCAUGGUGGAGUUGGGGACUCAGAGACAAACAAGGCACAGUUCCCACGGGCAAAGGGCUUUCAAAGAACUGACAAAUCGCAUUCUUCGGGGCGGAGAAGACAAGCGAUGCCAAUCCUUGGUGAUACCGUUUUUAAAUAUUAGCUACUAAAGGAAGCUGCUAAUGAAAAAGCAAAACACACGGAAGUUACACUGCAGCGAAGACCGUCAACUCAGGGGACUGAGAGUAAUUCACCAGGGCUGCGCUGGAGGAAUGACGGAUUUUCCCGGUGACGGGUCUUUCUCCCCACGGUGGCUAGGGGGCGGUAGAAGCACGCAAAAGCAGUGAGAACGUUCGCGUCCCGCGUUAGCCGGGCCCGCUGACAGGCUGGUCCUGGGCCGAGCUCUGCUCGCCUGCAGCAUGCAUCCACCACCCCACCAAACACCCCAAGUGCCCAUCUCCUCGUCCCUUCCUGCCUUUUGUCUCCAAACAUUUCCUGAUGGACAAAUAGGUCUCAGGCCUGCGUAGGUGCUAAGGAGCAGAAACGUACAUAAACUCUACAGAAAUACUGAGUCUUCACACACGGCAUCAAUCGGUUAGGUUGCCACUAUGCGUUUGAGAAACGCGUAUCUGUUAAGAUGAGGUUUUUUGUUUUUAAUUUUUUAAGCAUGUUUAUUCAUUUUUGAGAGACAGAGAGACGGAGGGCGAGCAGGGGAGAGGCAAAGAGAGAGGGAGACACAGAAUCUGAAGCAGGCUCCGGGCUCCGAGCUGUCAGCACAGAGCCCGACGUGGAGCUCCAACUCACGAACUGUGAGAUCAUGACCUGAGCCGAAGUCGGACGCUUAACCCGCUGAGCCACCCAGGUGCCCCUAGAUGAGGUUUUAUUUGAACACUUGGAGGCCCCUUUAAAAUUCAGACCUGUCUAAACACUGUUCGAAGUUUGGGAGACUACGCUCAACUUGAGGAGGCAAGCCCCAGCUCAGCAGUGAAGCAUGGAAAAACUGUGGCUUCACCAUCACACGGCCUGGGUUCAGCUCUGAGCUGCACCAUGGUCAGCGGCAUGACCUCAGACAAGUUAUUCAACCUCUCUGAGCCUGGGCAUCGACAGCUCUAAAAGGUAAUAAAUAACUUCACGAAUGCUGUAUGCGGUAUUCAGUAGGUGUUCAAUAGGUGUUAGCUCCUCAGCCUCUGCUCUCUGGGAGGAAGGGAAAGGAGGGAAGCGUGGAGCCAACGUGGAGCCACAUAUUCCAUGCGCUUGGCUGCGGACAAGGCCAUUGCACAAAAGGCACUUGUCUAUACGGACACACCCAGGUAACAUCAGUUAAUUCCAAUGCUCCGAAACACUUGAAAUUGUAGGGGAGAAAAUCGAAAGAGUCUGAAGUAUGUUUAUAAGGAGGCGAGAAGAAGAGUUUAGUCCAACGGACGUGUCUUGAGGGCUCCAUCUGUGUGGAGCAGGGGGUCAAAAAAGGGAAGAUCAGGACAAGACGAGGUGGGAGUCUGGCCAAGUGCAGAAGCUUCAUGAGCAAUGAUGUGACACCUGGGCAAAGGCGGUGAGAAGAGACAGGGAGAAGAGCCUCAAAGUGAGGCUGUCUGUUCUCUUGCUUCGCAUGGCUUUCCUAACAGUUUGUGUCAGCUGGUUUCCGGGUAAUUGGGUUUGAUGGCUUAGCCUGGAAUUGAUUGACAUGUGUGCUGAGAGGGGCUCCUGCGAGAAUCAUGAACUUGAUUUGAUCAUGGUGAAUUUUAUAUGUCAUAAAGUGUUUUUAUGAACUGCAGCUACCCCGGAUGACCUCAGUAACAUGUUUAUUCUGGGGAUGUGAAGUUUGCUGUUAGAACAGGGGUGUGAUAUGUAAGAAGGGGCUCGGGUUCAGGACUCUUACACUUGACUAUGAGACCAAUUUUGCUCCUUAUUACUCAUGCAUCAUUAGAUAUGCACCUGAUGACUUCUAAGACAGAACUUGCUGCAAGGUUCCAGGAUGGCCCCCCAAAUUCCUGUCCCUGGGAUGCACGUCCCGGAUAAUCCCCUCCCCCAAGUGUGGUGGGAUCUUUCAGUAUGGUGGGAUAUCGGCCCCUGAUUAGCUUACAUUGUAUGGCAAAGGUGAGGGGAUUUUGCUGAAGUAAUCAAGGUACCAAGUCAGUCAAUGUUGGGUUAAUAAAAGGGAGAUUAUCCUGGGUGGGCCUGACUUAAUCAGGCACACUCUUGAAAAGAGCGUCUAGAGGUCAGAGACAGAAGUCAGGAGAAUUUUCCUCAUGACCUUGAAGAAGCAGACUGCCUUGUUGUGGAGCAGACCGCAUACCAGAGAGCGGCCCUCAUGGAAGGUCAGCAAAACGGUAGGGACCUAGUGUAACCACCAGAGGGAACUUUAGAGGAGAUGAGAUCACAGCCCAGCUGACAUCGUGACUGCAGCCUUGUGAGGCCCCGGGCAGAGGACACGCUAAGCCACGCUGGACUCUUUAUCCGCGGAAAUGUGUCCAUUGAAGCCUCUAAGUUUGUGGUGACUUGUUACCAGGAACGGAACAAUAACCCAGAACCUGCAUCACCUACUUUACAGAGUUGUUGUGGGGAUUAGAGAAGAGAAGUACCAGAGACUGAAUCUUCUGCUGAGUAGACGUGAACCUUGGACAUGAUCUGGUCCAGCUUCUUCAGUUUACAAAAACACCCCCCUUCCUUCGUCCAGCGUGCGAUGCCGAAGCCCAUGGAAGGGUCCUCGUGGCCACGCUGCUGCCACCCAGCUGCUUUCCCAAUUAGGCCCUGAAAGGUUUCCCCUGACUUUUUAGGUCCCUUCUCAGCGGAAUUCUCCUUUUUUCCUUGGUAGACGUCUCAGAAACUCGGUCAGACGUGGCCAGGGGCCCGGAUCCUCAUGAUGGUACCUGCAUUUCUCAAGAAUGACCCUCUCUCUCCAGGGCUGAGCCAGCCACCUACCUAUAAGGAGGGGGGCCUGCAGGAGGUGACCAAACUCUGACUCCGUGGCUGGGUUAAGCUCAUGAGCAGGGACAGGUGCUUCGACACGCUGCCCAUAUUCGUAGUGAGAACAGGAUAUGAGCCCUGAGGCCACUGAAGAUGGAGGAGAAUCUUCCAGGCAGCGCAAAGUCUAAAGUCCUGCGGUUUAUAAACCUCUCCCUCUUGCCGCCAGGGCCUGUCCCUGUGGGCGUUGCCUGCGAGUCCUGGGUUUGUGGAUCUGGAUGUGCAGGAACAGAGAGGAAGCCAGAGUGAGGACGGUUGAGAUCAUCUUGUUCUGCUAAGUUGGAUGGCAAACCUACACUUUCAGAACCGCACACUGAGAAAUGCAAGGCAACUGAGUGUCCUCUGCAGUGAACACAUCAGCAUGAAUGUCCCUGCAGGCCAAGUAGAGAGACAGGUCAGGUUGGGGGCACAAAGGAAAGAGCCCAACCAGAAAACAGUAGCUCAGGAUCGGCACCCGGACAGGGUUAAUGCCAGAAUCUGACUGCAGCUGGAUAUUUUGAGUUUUCCAUAUGUCCCAGGGUUUUCCCCUGCUUUGGGUUAUUGGCAAAUGGUAUUCUGUUAGUUCUUUAAAUUUUUUUUUAAUGUUUAUCUA